rnacentral:misc_RNA from 1 species
GCGAGUUAAUUACAAGCUCCAAACCCAUGUGAACAUACCUACUGUUGCCUCGGCAGGCCGUGGCGCGCGGAAGGACCGCUACCCCGCAAAGCAGGGCAGCUACCCUGUAGCGGGGGGGCGCCUGCCCCGCGCCGCGCUGAAAGGCCUGCCGGCGGACCACUAAAUUCUGUUUCUACGUCUGUAUCUCUGAGGGCUAUUAUACAAAUAAGUUA